rnacentral:siRNA from 1 species
GGCAGAAGAUGAUGACAGCCA